GAAGGUGUUGGUUUUUUUGUCUCAUCACCAGUAUCAUGUUUAAACUGCUUUAGUGUUUCAGAGCAUGACUUGGCAACCAGCAGAAGACCAGGAGAGGAUGGAGACAUGAGGAUGCCAUCACCUCUUCUGGAUCAGAACGGAACUGCUUGUGUGAUCUGAGGACUUUACAGCUUUGUCCAAGAAGAAACUGAAAUCAAAAGAGAAAUGCUGAAGAUAAUAAUUGCCAAUACAAG